UACAGAGGGGGCAAGCGUUAUUCGGAAUUAUUGGGCGUAAAGGGCGCGUAGGCGGCCUGGCAAGUGACGGGUGAAAUCCCUCGGCUUAACCGAGGAACUGCCUGUCAGACUGCUUGGCUUGAGACCGGGAGAGGUGAGUGGAAUUCCCAGUGUAGCGGUGAAAUGCGUAGAUAUUGGGAGGAACACCAGUGGCGAAGGCGGCUCACUGGACCGGAACUGACGCUGAGGCGCGAAAGCGUGGGGAGCAAACAGG
rnacentral:rRNA from 1 species